UACGGAGGGGGCUAGCGUUGUUCGGAAUUACUGGGCGUAAAGCGCACGUAGGCGGACUGGAAAGUUGGAGGUGAAAUCCCAGGGUUCAACCUUGGAACUGCCUUCAAAACUAUCAGUCUGGAGUUCGAGAGAGGUGAGUGGAAUUGCGAGUGUAGAGGUGAAAUUCGUAGAUAUUCGCAGGAACACCAGUGGCGAAGGCGGCUCACUGGCUCGAUACUGACGCUGAGGUGCGAAAGUGUGGGGAGCAAAC
rnacentral:rRNA from 1 species